GUAGUUAGCCGGAGCUUCCUCCAAAGGUACCGUCAUUAUCUUCCCUUUGGACAGAGGUUUACAAUCCGAAAACCUUCUUCCCUCACGCGGCGUUGCUGGGUCAGGCUUGCGCCCAUUGCCCAAUAUUCCCCACUGCUGCCUCCCGUAGGAGUCUGGACCGUGUCUCAGUUCCAGUGUGGCCGAUCAGCCUCUCAGCUCGGCUACCCAUCGCUGACAUGGUGGGCCGUUACCCCGCCAUCUAUCUAAUGGGACGCGAACCCCUCCAAUUGCGGAUUGCUCCUUUGACCUCAUCCCGAUGCCGGGUCGUGGUCUUAUGCGGUAUUAGCACUUGUUUCCAGGUGUUAUCCCCCUCAACUGGUCAGGUUGUUCACGCGUUACUCACCCGUUCGCCACUAAGCUAUAUCCGAAAACAUAGCUCCGUUCGACUUGCAUGUGUUAGGCACGCCGCCAGCGUUCGUCCUGAGCCAGAAUCGAACCCUGA
rnacentral:rRNA from 1 species